GAAAUGCGAUACUUGGUGUGAAUUGCAGAAUCCCGUGAACCAUCGAGUCUUUGAACGCAAGUUGCGCCCGAAGCCAUUAGGCCGAGGGCACGCCUGCCUGGGUGUCACACAUCGUUUCCCCAACGCAAACAUGUAACAAUGUUGCUGCGCGGGGUGUAUGCUGACCUCCCGCGAGCACCCGCCUAUGCGAUACGUAGUGUGAAUUGCAGAAUUCAGUGAAUCAUCGAAUCUUUGAACGCACAUUGCGCCCGCUAGUAUU
rnacentral:misc_RNA from 1 species